UACGUAGGUGACAAGCGUUGUCCGGAUUUACUGGGCGUAAAGAGCGCGCAGGCGGUCGUUCAAGUCGAGUGUGAAAGCCCCCGGCUCAACUGGGGAGGGUCACUCGAUACUGAUCGACUUGAAGGCAGGAGAGGGAAGCGGAAUUCCCGGUGUAGUGGUGAAAUGCGUAGAUAUCGGGAGGAACACCAGUGGCGAAGGCGGCUGCCUGGGCCAGUUCUGACGCUGAGGCGCGAAAGCGUGGGGAGCAAACAGG
rnacentral:rRNA from 1 species